rnacentral:rRNA from 1 species
UACGGAGGGUGCGAGCGUUGUCCGGAAUCAUUGGGCGUAAAGGGCGCGUAGGUGGCCCGGUCAGUUCGUGGUGAAAGCGCGGGGCUCAACUCCGCGUCGGCCAUGAAUACUGCUGGGCUGGAGCACUGUAGAGGCAGGCGGAAUUCCGGGUGUAGCGGUGGAAUGCGUAGAGAUCCGGAAGAACACCGGUGGCGAAGGCGGCCUGCUGGGCAGUUGCUGGACACUGAGGCGCGACAGCGUGGGGAGCAACAGG